rnacentral:rRNA from 1 species
GUAAAGUGGCGCACGGGUGAGUAACGCGUAGAGUAACCUGUCUUCAUGUCUGGAAUAAUACGCCGAAAGGGGUACUAAUACCGGAUAUUCUUGCUUUUCAUAAGUUAUGCAAGCAAAGGUGGCCUCUGCAUAUGCUACUGCAUGAAGAGGGGUCUGCGUACCAUUAGCUAGUAGGUGGGGUAAUGGCCUACCUAGGCGACGAUGGUUAGCGGGUCUGAGAGGAUGAUCCGCCACACUGGCACUGGAACACGGGCCAGACUCCUACGGGAGGCAGCAGUGAGGAAUAUUGCGCAAUGGGGGAAACCCUGACGCAGCGACGCCGCGUGAGUGAGGAAGGCCUUCGGGUCGUAAAGCUCUGUCAAGAGGAAAGAAGUGUACAAUGGCUAAUACCUGUUGUAUUUGACGGUACCUCUAAAGGAAGCACCGGCUAACUCCGUGCCAGCCGCGGC